UACGUAGGAGGCAAGCGUUGUCCGGAAUUACUGGGCGUAAAGCGCGUGUAGGUGGUGGGACAAGUCUGCUGUGAAAGCGCCUGGCUUAACCGGGCGAGGUCGGCGGAAACUGUCCGACUCGAGGACGGUAGAGGGGGGUGGAAUUCCCGGUGUAGUGGUGAAAUGCGCAGAUAUCAGGAAGAACACCCGUGGCUAAGGCGGCUCUCUAGUACGUGACUGACGCUGAGACGCGAAAGCGUGGGGAGCGAACAGG
rnacentral:rRNA from 1 species